GUAACAAGGUCUCCGUUGGUGAACCAGCGGAGGGAUCAUUACUGA
rnacentral:rRNA from 5 species